CAAUUGGAGGGCAAGUCUGGUGCCAGCAGCCGCGGUAAUUCCAGCUCCAAUAGCGUAUAUUAAAGUUGUUGCAGUUAAAAAGCUCGUAGUUGGAUCUCGGGUGCAGGCGGGCGGUCCGGCUCGCGCCGGUUCACUGCCCGUAUUGAAAUCCUGCCCUACUUGUCUGCCGGCUCUCUCCCGCGGGUGCUCUUCGCUGAGCGUCCCGGGUGGCCGGCGCGUUUACUUUGAAAAAAUUAGAGUGUUCAAAGCAGGCAUUCACAAGCCUGAAUAAUGGUGCAUGGAAUAAUGGAAUAGGACCUCGGUUCUAUUUUGUUGGUUUUCGGAACUGGAGGUAAUGAUUAACAGGGACAAACGGGGGCAUUCGUAUUGCGGCGUUAGAGGUGAAAUUCUUGGAUCGCCGCAAGACGAACUACUGCGAAAGCAUUUGUCAAGAAUGUUUUCAUUAGUCAAGAACGAAAGUCAGAGGCGCGAAGACGAUCAGAUACCGUCGUAGUUCUGACCAUAAACUAUGCCACCUGGCCAUCCGCAGGAGUUGCUUCGAUGACUCUGCGGGCGGCCUCCGGGAAACCAAAGGCUUUGGGUUCCGGGGGAAGUAUGGUUGCAAAGCUGAAACUUAAAGGAAUUGACGGAAGGGCACCACCAGGAGUGGAGCUGCGGCUUAAUUUGACUCAACACGGGAAAACUCACCCGGUCCGGACACUGUAAGGAUUGA
rnacentral:rRNA from 1 species